rnacentral:rRNA from 1 species
GAUGAACGCUGGCGGCGUGCCUAAUACAUGCAAGUCGAGCGAACGGACGAGAAGCUUGCUUCUCUGAUGUUAGCGGCGGACGGGUGAGUAACACGUGGAUAACCUACCUAUAAGACUGGGAUAACUUCGGGAAACCGGAGCUAGUACCGGAUAAUAUUUUGAACCGCAUGGUUCAAAAGUGAAAGACGGUCUUGCUGUCACUUAUAGAUGGAUCCGCGCUGCAUUAGCUAGUUGGUAAGGUAACGGCUUACCAAGGCAACGAUGCAUAGCCGACCUGAGAGGGUGAUCGGCCACACUGGAACUGAGACACGGUCCAGACUCCUACGGGAGGCAGCAGUAGGGAAUCUUCCGCAAUGGGCGAAAGCCUGACGGAGCAACGCCGCGUGAGUGAUGAAGGUCUUCGGAUCGUAAAACUCUGUUAUUAGGGAAGAACAUAUGUGUAAGUAACUGUGAACAUCUUGACGGUACCUAAUCAGAAAGCCACGGCUAACUACGUG